rnacentral:rRNA from 1 species
UACAGAGGGUGCAAGCGUUGUCCGGAAUCACUGGGCGUAAAGAGCGUGUAGGCGGCCAGGUAGGUGGGUUGUGAAAACUGGAGGCUCAACCUUCAGAGGUCGACCCAAACCCCCUGGCUAGAGUCCGGAAGAGGAGAGUGGAAUUCCUGGUGUAGCGGUGAAAUGCGCAGAUAUCAGGAAGAACACCCGUGGCGAAGGCGGCUCUCUGGGACGGUACUGACGCUGAGACGCGAAAGCGUGGGGAGCGAACAGG